AAAGACUUAGUCCUAACCUUGCAGUUAGUUCUUACCAAGUAUAUACAUGCAAGUAUCCGCGCCCCAGUGUAAAUGCCCUAACCUCUUUGCUAAAGAUAAAGGAGCUGGUAUCAGGCACACCCACCGUAGUAGCCCACAACACCUUGCUUCGCCACACCCACACGGGCUUUCAGCAGUAAUUGACAUUAAGCAAUAAGUGUAAACUUGACUUAGCCAUGGUAAAACCAAGGGUCGGUAAAUCUUGUGCCAGCCACCGCGGUCAUACAAGAGACCCAAAUUAACUGCACCCGGCGUAAAGAGUGGUACAAUGGUAUCAUAACAACUAAGACUGAAACACAACCAAGCCGUCAUAAGCUAAAGUUGAAUUUAAAACCAUCCUAAAAAUGGUCCUAGUAUAUUAGAUUAACUUAACACCACGAAAGCUAAGACACAAACUGGGAUUAGAUACCCCACUAUGCCUAGCCAUAAAUCCAGAUUCUUCCUCCACUAAAGAAUCCGCCCGAGAACUACGAGCACAAACGCUUAAAACUCUAAGGACUUGGCGGUGCCCCAAACCCACCUAGAGGAGCCUGUUCUGUAAUCGAUAACCCACGAUCCACCUAACCACUUCUUGCCCAAACAGCCUACAUACCGCCGUCCCCAGCUCGCCUUAACUGAAAGCACAACAGCAAGCACAACAGCCACAACCCACGCUAGUAAGACAGGUCAAGGUAUAGCCUAUGAAGUGGAAGAAAUGGGCUACAUUUUCUAACCAUAGAACAUUCACGAAAAGAGGAGUGAAACCCUCCCCUAGAAGGCGGAUUUAGCAGUAAAGAGAGACAAUUAAACUUCCUUUAAGACGGCCCUGGGGCACGUACAUACCGCCCGUCACCCUCCUCACACACUACCCACCAACAAUACAUAAUACAAGUAUCAACCACAAGACGAGGUAAGUCGUAACAAGGUAAGUGUACUGGAAAGUGCACUUAGCACAC
rnacentral:ncRNA from 1 species